CACACAGUGCAAGAUACUCAGUGGUGAGUGAAACUGAAGCUGGGGGACAGACAGAGCUGUAGCAGAGCCAAAGUAGUGCACUUUUUUAUUGAAUUAGCUAUCGGUUAUCAGGCACAUACAACGCUGGCACAGAUAAUCUGGAAACGGCCAAAAACGUCCCGAUAAUCAGCCAGG